ACAUGCCUACAACAUAGCAUUAAUGCACUGUAUCCCAUUACAACUCCGCAGUUAAGCGUGCUUGGGAUAGAGUAGUGCUGGGAUGGGUGACUGCACGGGAAGUCCUAGUAUUUUACAUGCC
rnacentral:rRNA from 1 species